UAGGGAAUCUUCGGCAAUGGACGGAAGUCUGACCGAGCAACGCCGCGUGAGUGAAGAAGGUUUUCGGAUCGUAAAGCUCUGUUGUUAGAGAAGAACGUUGGUAGGAGUGGAAAAUCUACCAAGUGACGGUAACUAACCAGAAAGGGACGGCUAACUACGUGCCAGCAGCCGCGGUAAUACGUAGGUCCCGAGCGUUGUCCGGAUUUAUUGGGCGUAAAGCGAGCGCAGGCGGUUCUUUAAGUCUGAAGUUAAAGGCAGUGGCUUAACCAUUGUACGCUUUGGAAACUGUAGGACUUGAGUGCAGAAGGGGAGAGUGGAAUUCCAUGUGUAGCGGUGAAAUGCGUAGAUAUAUGGAGGAACACCGGUGGCGAAAGCGGCUCACUGGUCUGUAACUGACGCUGAGGCUCGAAAGCGUGGGGAGCAAACAGG
rnacentral:rRNA from 1 species